rnacentral:rRNA from 1 species
UAAGCGGCUAAGCGUACACGGUGGAUGCCCUGGCAGUCAGAGGCGAUGAAGGACGUGCUAAUCUGCGAUAAGCGUCGGUAAGGUGAUAUGAACCGUUAUAACCGGCGAUUUCCGAAUGGGGAAACCCAGUGUGAUUCGUCACACUAUCAUUAACUGAAUCCAUAGGUUAAUGAGGCGAACCGGGGGAACUGAAACAUCUAAGUACCCCGAGGAAAAGAAAUCAACCGAGAUUCCCCCAGUAGCGGCGAGCGAACGGGGAGCAGCCCAGAGCCUGAAUCAGUGUGUGUGUUAGUGGAAGCGUCUGGAAAGGCGCGCGAUACAGGGUGACAGCCCCGUACACAAAAAUGCACAUGCUGUGAGCUCGAUGAGUAGGGCGGGACACGUGGUAUCCUGUCUGAAUAUGGGGGGACCAUCCUCCAAGGCUAAAUACUCCUGACUGACCGAUAGUGAACCAGUACCGUGAGGGAAAGGCGAAAAGAACCCCGGCGAGGGGAGUGAAAAAGAACCUGAAACCGUGUACGUACAAGCAGUGGGAGCACAGAGCAAUCUGUGUGACUGCGUACCUUUUGUAUAAUGGGUCAGCGACUUAUAUUCUGUAGCAAGGUUAACCGAAUAGGGGAGCCGAAGGGAAACCGAGUCUUAACUGGGCGUUAAGUUGCAGGGUAUAGACCCGAAACCCGGUGAUCUAGCCAUGGGCAGGUUGAAGGUUGGGUAACACUAACUGGAGGACCGAACCGACUAAUGUUGAAAAAUUAGCGGAUGACUUGUGGCUGGGGGUGAAAGGCCAAUCAAACCGGGAGAUAGCUGGUUCUCCCCGAAAGCUAUUUAGGUAGCGCCUCGUGAAUUCAUCUCCGGGGGUAGAGCACUGUUUCGGCAAGGGGGUCAUCCCGACUUACCAACCCGAUGCAAACUGCGAAUACCGGAGAAUGUUAUCACGGGAGACACACGGCGGGUGCUAACGUCCGUCGUGAAGAGGGAAACAACCCAGACCGCCAGCUAAGGUCCCAAAGUCAUGGUUAAGUGGGAAACGAUGUGGGAAGGCCCAGACAGCCAGGAUGUUGGCUUAGAAGCAGCCAUCAUUUAAAGAAAGCGUAAUAGCUCACUGGUCGAGUCGGCCUGCGCGGAAGAUGUAACGGGGCUAAACCAUGCACCGAAGCUGCGGCAGCGACGCUUAUGCGUUGUUGGGUAGGGGAGCGUUCUGUAAGCCUGCGAAGGUGUGCUGUGAGGCAUGCUGGAGGUAUCAGAAGUGCGAAUGCUGACAUAAGUAACGAUAAAGCGGGUGAAAAGCCCGCUCGCCGGAAGACCAAGGGUUCCUGUCCAACGUUAAUCGGGGCAGGGUGAGUCGACCCCUAAGGCGAGGCCGAAAGGCGUAGUCGAUGGGAAACAGGUUAAUAUUCCUGUACUUGGUGUUACUGCGAAGGGGGGACGGAGAAGGCUAUGUUGGCCGGGCGACGGUUGUCCCGGUUUAAGCGUGUAGGCUGGUUUUCCAGGCAAAUCCGGAAAAUCAAGGCUGAGGCGUGAUGACGAGGCACUACGGUGCUGAAGCAACAAAUGCCCUGCUUCCAGGAAAAGCCUCUAAGCAUCAGGUAACAUCAAAUCGUACCCCAAACCGACACAGGUGGUCAGGUAGAGAAUACCAAGGCGCUUGAGAGAACUCGGGUGAAGGAACUAGGCAAAAUGGUGCCGUAACUUCGGGAGAAGGCACGCUGAUAUGUAGGUGAAGUCCCUCGCGGAUGGAGCUGAAAUCAGUCGAAGAUACCAGCUGGCUGCAACUGUUUAUUAAAAACACAGCACUGUGCAAACACGAAAGUGGACGUAUACGGUGUGACGCCUGCCCGGUGCCGGAAGGUUAAUUGAUGGGGUCAGCGCAAGCGAAGCUCUUGAUCGAAGCCCCGGUAAACGGCGGCCGUAACUAUAACGGUCCUAAGGUAGCGAAAUUCCUUGUCGGGUAAGUUCCGACCUGCACGAAUGGCGUAAUGAUGGCCAGGCUGUCUCCACCCGAGACUCAGUGAAAUUGAACUCGCUGUGAAGAUGCAGUGUACCCGCGGCAAGACGGAAAGACCCCGUGAACCUUUACUAUAGCUUGACACUGAACAUUGAGCCUUGAUGUGUAGGAUAGGUGGGAGGCUUUGAAGUGUGGACGCCAGUCUGCAUGGAGCCGACCUUGAAAUACCACCCUUUAAUGUUUGAUGUUCUAACGUGGACCCGUAAUCCGGGUUGCGGACAGUGUCUGGUGGGUAGUUUGACUGGGGCGGUCUCCUCCUAAAGAGUAACGGAGGAGCACGAAGGUUGGCUAAUCCUGGUCGGACAUCAGGAGGUUAGUGCAAUGGCAUAAGCCAGCUUGACUGCGAGCGUGACGGCGCGAGCAGGUGCGAAAGCAGGUCAUAGUGAUCCGGUGGUUCUGAAUGGAAGGGCCAUCGCUCAACGGAUAAAAGGUACUCCGGGGAUAACAGGCUGAUACCGCCCAAGAGUUCAUAUCGACGGCGGUGUUUGGCACCUCGAUGUCGGCUCAUCACAUCCUGGGGCUGAAGUAGGUCCCAAGGGUAUGGCUGUUCGCCAUUUAAAGUGGUACGCGAGCUGGGUUUAGAACGUCGUGAGACAGUUCGGUCCCUAUCUGCCGUGGGCGCUGGAGAAUUGAGGGGGGCUGCUCCUAGUACGAGAGGACCGGAGUGGACGCAUCACUGGUGUUCGGGUUGUCAUGCCAAUGGCACUGCCCGGUAGCUAAAUGCGGAAGAGAUAAGUGCUGAAAGCAUCUAAGCACGAAACUUGCCCCGAGAUGAGUUCUCCCUGACUCCUUGAGAGUCCUGAAGGAACGUUGAAGACGACGACGUUGAUAGGCCGGGUGUGUAAGCGCAGCGAUGCGUUGAGCUAACCGGUACUAAUGAACCGUGAGGCUUAACCU